AGGGCACCACCAGGAGUGGAGCCUGCGGCUUAAUUUGACUCAACGCGGGAAAACUCACCCGGCCCGGACACCGUAAGGAUUGACAGAUUGAGAGCUCUUUCUUGAUUCGGUGGUUGGUGGUGCAUGGCCGUUCUUAGUUGGUGGAGCGAUUUGUCUGGUUUAUUCCGAUAACGAACGAGACUCUGGCCUACUAAAUAGAGACAGGAUUAUUACUGUCCUGGAUUCUUCUUAGAGGGACAAGUGGUUUUCAGCCACACGAAAUUGAGCAAUAACUGGUCUGUGAUGCCCUUAGAUGUCCGGGGCUGCACGCGCGCUACACUGAAGGAAUCAGCGUGCUAAAACCAUUGUCGAAAGGCAUUGGUAAACCCCUCAAAAUCCUACGUGAUUGGGAUCGGGAAUUGCAAUUAUUUCCCUUGAACGAGGAAUUCCCAGUAAGUGUGGGUCAUAAGCUCGCGUUGAUUACGUCCCUGCCCUUUGUACACACCGCCCGUCGCUGCCCGGGACUGAGCCGUUUCGAGA
rnacentral:rRNA from 1 species